GGACUAUACAGGCAUAACAAUAAAAAUAAAAAAAAUAAUAAUUUGAAAAUCUCAAACUUGGCUCAGAAACUUUUUGGAAAAUAUGAUACAAAUAUAUUGCUUUCUAUAUAUACACAUGAAUACAAAUAUUUUGUUGGUAUAAUUGUAGCGAACCUCAUUUACAUUUAGAAAUUAUGAAUUCAUCUACUACGAAAUUCUACACCGUCUUCAUGUUCUUGUGUUUUGUCAUCAUUCUCCUUAUUUCUUCAUGUGGUAUAAAAUAACAAUGCAAUUUAUAAUAUUAUGACACUUCUUUAAUUAACUUUAAUAAUAUUAUUAUUAUUACUACUACUAUUAUUAUUAUGAAUUUUUUUUUUUUUUUUCUUCUUUUUAUGUUUAGAGCCACUGGGAAUAUUUGAAGAUGGUGGUUGUAGAGAGAUAAGUAAAACAUGGGAAAAAAAGUAUUGUCAUUAUAAUAACUUUGAUAACUCGGAAUGUAAUUCAACAUGUGUCAACUUGGAGCAUGCAAUGUUUGGUGGUUGUCAAUAUAGUCCUCGUUCUUGGUCAUUUCCUAGGCUUUGUUACUGCAACUACAAGUGUAACGAAUAUAUACCGCCGUGGUUUUAAACUAUGUUUGGAUUGGUGAAACAUGAUGGAAUGGAACAUGAUGGAACUCAUUCCAUACCACCAUCUCCUUCUAUUUUUUAUUCCAUCUAAUUUGG
rnacentral:lncRNA from 1 species